UACGUCCAUAGCGCGUUGAAACACCGGUUCCUGUACGAUCAUCGAUGUUACGCAAUGUUAAGGCUGCUUAAUAUCUAAAUGGGUGACCGCUAGGGAAUACCAGGUGCUGUAAG